rnacentral:rRNA from 1 species
UACGUAGGGUGCAAGCGUUGUCCGGAAUUAUUGGGCGUAAAGAGCUCGUAGGCGGUCAGUCGCGUCUGCUGUGAAAACUCGGGGCUUAACUCCGGGCCUGCAGUGGGUACGGGCUGACUAGAGUGCGGUAGGGGAGACUGGAAUUCCUGGUGUAGCGGUGAAAUGCGCAGAUAUCAGGAGGAACACCGGUGGCGAAGGCGGGUCUCUGGGCCGUAACUGACACUGAGAGACGAAAGCUAGGGGAGCGAAUGGG